UGUGUUUCUGAUUAUUGUCGAGAAACAACAACCCUGUAAAUCUUCUUACAGUGUGAAAUAAUCUCUUUCUGCAGGACCACCCUGAUGCUCUGAGAAUUGAGAAUCUUCUGAAACCACAUGCCUGCAGAGGGAAUCCAAACCAGGCCACAUUUGCAUGAGCUGCUGAGGUUUUCUCUGGCCCCAGUGUGGUCUGAUGAGGCUCGCGCUCUGACCGCCCGGGGCCUCGAAACCGAGCUGAGGUCUUAUUGACAUGGAGCACGCAGCUUUGCCGUGACCGCCACCGCGGCGGCCAGAGCCGAUCCACCCGGCCUGCUGCAGAGACACAGAUGCCCACGUUUAAGAACACAGCAGGGAGCAGGACGGAGGGGGGGAGGGGUAUAAACUACAGCCAAAGAGUUAAAGAGAGGACACAAGGAGAGCGAACUUUUAAUUCUCUCUCUGCAGAAUUUGAAUUUAGAAAGAGACAGCAGUCACUUCAAACAGAGAGGGAGAGAGAAACCUCCAAAAAGACCAAACUUUUACCGCUAUAGUAGCUCAAACACAGGAAAGGUCAUACGGGAUUUAACCUUUUCAUACAAAAUGAAAGCUGCACUGACUCCCCCACAUGCAAACAUACUGUAUGUUUAAUUUCAGUGAGUGAAAAAGAAGUUGCAGGUGAGUCACGGAGAAAGAAACUCGAGCAUGCAUGAAGAAUCAUCGAAAUACUCCCCAAUAGAACAGCAGCUGACAGACAUUUAAAGUAUUUUACAUGAAAUAUGUUCGACUCUGGUUUGUCAGUGAGAAUAGACGCUUUAAAAACUUGAAAUAGUCAGUACGUUUACAUGAAACUCGAGAAAACUGAAUUAUUGCCGAAGACUGGACAACUGAAGUGCAUGUUAACACCUUCGUCUGACUAUAAUCGGAGUUUGAGGAGUUUUCAGAGAACUCCGAAAUGCGAUUGGAAUUCGAUUUUCUCUACCAUGUAACCAGCGUAGUCGGAGUAUGAUCGGACAAUGCAUGUGCACCACGCCUUCGUAACCCUGGAACAAAAACACCAGAGAAGAAGUGGCGCUAUCAUUUUAAGAACUUUUGACUCAGAAGUAACUGCAUCAUGGCUGAAGCACGAAAGAAUGUCCACUUUUAAAACAACAAGGAGAGCGCCAUUAUGCUUUCUGACCUGACAGAAAUUGGCAUUUUAAAAUAUAUGGAUGAUCGCAAAACGAGGAACGGAUAUGUCUUUAAAAAAGGUCCAGAAACAGACCCAUAUCGCCCCCUAGCUUUGGGGAGGAGGACACGUUCGCAUCACUAAUUCGAUUUUCUCAGCUGCGUGUAUACGCGGACAAGAAGAGAAGUCUGAUUCAGUAGAAAAAUCAAAUUAUGAGCUUAGUCCGAUUCAACUGUGCAUGUAAACACAUUGACUGUGAAAGAGUCAAAACUAAAUACCAGGAAUAAAAAUGAAGGUUCAGCGCCCUGGUAGACCAUGAUUAGUUGAUAUCUGCGUGACUGAAGUUGGAGUGUGUUCGGAUGUCGUUUCAGGACGGUGUGUUCUGAGUUACAGGAGGAAGUCACAUUAUUAUAACGUAUAAUUGCCCCGCGUCACGACAUGUUUGCUUGUUUAUUCUGGAGUGAUCACUGCGAUGCUAAUGGCCCUCGGUAAUGACAGCGUAUUUACUGUUAUGGAACAUUUUCAGCUGUAUUAUUAUGGUAUGUAACUCCCUGGAGUGGUAUCUAAACAUCCCCGUCCUCCUGAAGAUAAACGUAGACCUCUUCUUGUUGUACGCCGUGGUCAAUAUUCAGUCUGUCUUUAACAGUCUCAGGAUCAAACAGUGUUUUCUCUCAACUUUUAUUUUUCUAACUGGCGUUUUAUGUAUUGAAGAUUAUCUGUUUAUUCUUUAAUUUCAAAUAUUGAUCUGGUAUUACUAAAUGAGAUACUAAUAAUUUGAGCAGUCUUACCCACAUUAAACGCCUCCCUCACAUUGAUUUUGUAGCGCUGUUUACUACAAAAUUACCAUCUUUCUCGCUGUGUCGAUUUAAUGUUAUUACUCUACCCACAAAAUGAUUCAGUUACUUGAUUAAUUGCUUGAUUAAUUUGAUUUCAGCCGAACAAUUAUGGUCACAGCUUCUGCGUGCUUGUCUUUUUUUCUGUUUGGAAAGCAACAUGAGUAUUGACUGUGAAGAGAAAAUAUCAGAAUAAACAGAAACUGCUUAUUUCAUAUCGCACUGAUUUGUAUUCAUGUCCUAAAAACUGGGCUUUGCGACAAGACUGUGGUAAUCCAUACAUUCUCUGUAUAAUACGAAUAUGCAUAUCAGAGGAGCUGGAACAUAUUGAGUGAAUGAGAUUCAAUCUUCACGUCAAUUAUGUUCUCUUGUCAUUGUGUCAAAAUCCUCCACACAACGCCUGAAAACAACAAAACUCGUUCUCUGACAAGAGCUGAAUGCGUGUCAGUCAAAGAGGUCUGAGUGAUUUUCUUUUUCCUCAGACACUCAAAUCCAUCUGUGCUCUGAUUGUUAUUUUACAUUGUUGUUUUUAGGAGGCAAAGAAGUAAACCACAUGAGGCUCCUGUCUUUGACCGAUCCCCUGACCACCAUUUCCUCAGAUUUGAACCCUAACCUCCUAAUUCUGACCCUAAAGGUCGUUACACACCGGGGUCAAUUGGCGAAGCGAAAAAUUUGAAGUUUGACUUAUCUGACUGUUUUGUUUGGCUUAAUGCGCCCCUUAAUCUGGUGCACCUUAUGUAUGAAAAUAGACAUGAGUACACGCGUUCAUUGAUGGUGCGCCUUAUAGUGCCAAAAACACGGUACGCUAAUUUUCGCACCAGGUGUGUAUAGGAAAAGGCGUAAGACGAACAUUUUACAUUUUUGCAUCGCUUUUUUGGGUCACUUUGAUAAUUCGCCGAUGUGUAAUGACCUUAACCCUUAACCUUUUAGGCGGAAGACCUAAAGUCCUUGAGGUAGUUCACAGAGGAGAGGAAGGGUGGUACUUUUAGGAGUGAGGGACCGAGAGAGGUACCCGACAUGUUGACACCUUGACUCUUAACUUAGGGGAAGAGAGAAACUAAGGAGUCAUAAACAGAGAGGGAAAAAGUGAGUUUGUUGAAGUAGAUUUUGCGCCAGUGAGGUGAAGCUUGGUUUUAGUUGAUAAGGUUAACCAUCUCGGCAAAAAGUGGUUAAAAAGACAUUAAAGAGAUGUCAUCACCAUACGUCUAAACAACGUCUAGAUAAAGCCCAGUUUUCAACGUCUUUUUUUGGGCUAACUCACGGUGGCCGUGACUGAAAGUAGGUAGAUUUGAUGGACAUUUAGCUCUGGUUGUCAUCAAUGGAAUUAGAUGUUAAAUUUAUGGAGCAUAUAGCUAAAAGGAAGUAGAUAGAGGAUAAACAGAAGGGGACCGAGGACGUAACCCUGAGGAACACCAGUUUAAUGAACCAAGUUCAGCCAGAGAGUGAAGAGACAUCAUUAUUUACCUUCAAAUGACCAAAACAGAGAAAUAGUCCAAACAUCUUUGAUUAGGCACUUGUAACACUGGUGUUAAUGAGGCCUCCUGAGCUUUCAGACAGUCCCCUAGAGGACACUUGAGGAACUGCAGUUCUGGAAUAACCUCAUAUUUGAACAAUAGAGGAUGCUGCUUGGUUUGGCCGGUGUGCUCUGCCUUCUAUUUCUAUGGUGGUGCUCUACUGGGGAAAAAAAAUCACAAGGGGCUGUUAUUAAUCAAGUUAUUCUGGGAAAUGUAGGAGAUCACAAUCAAGAGGUAAUAAAAACAAGAGUUGGCAGCCGACGGUUUGUUAUUCCAAUGACCCCAUAGUUAGAUAACAAUAGUUGGAGAAAGUAGAACAAAGCUGCUCUUGUCCCAGUUUGGCCUUCAUAUCCACUCCUCCCUCUCAGUAUUUGCAGCAACAUCUAACGAAGAUCACAAAGAAUCUGAAGGAUACUGAUAACUCUAAUACCCGGGUUAUAAAAAGGCUGCUAUGAAUACCAUUUCAUAAUCAAUUUUCCUGCUUUUAUAUUCAAAUCAGCGGGAACAUUUGUCCGCAUGUUUAGUCAAUUUGGAGACGAGUGAUUGAAUGAAUUCUGUGGUCACACGGAAAGACGGCGGCGGUGUGCUAAAAAAGUGAUGACGGCGUCUUUCUGCCUGUCGGGAGGAGCAACAUUUCCCAUUAGGUUGGUGCUGGCUCUGUUUCACUUGAUUUGAUUCAAUAUGCAAAGGCCCUUUGAGAAAUCAGACAGCCUGUAGGGUGUGUGCCAUGGUAAUGUGGCGCUGAAUGAAAAGCAUGAUGAUGAAGAGGAUAAUACAGAGCACACGGCAAACCAUGAAAACCAUCCGUCUGCUCUCCCCCCUCCCACUCUCUCCUCUCCCUCACCCUUUCAUUUUCACACAGUUUAGAGGAUCCAUAUUAAUUGCACUGCUAAAUAUGGCCUUGACCUAUACUAGCCACUCCUGGAACAGCUGUGUUCACGGGGUGCCACUUUUUAGACGGCGGUGCUGAUAGGUUAUAUGCGGGAAGUGCUGCUGCUGAUGGCUCUGGUUGUUGCUAAGCGACCCUAAGGAUCCAAUGUGAAGUAUGCCGCACUUUAACUAAUAUUUGAGAUUCUCCCUUGUUUCAUCUCCCGGUAUAUGACACUUAAUUCAUCAGUCAUGCUCAGCUCCGAGGGAUGACUGACACUCCU
rnacentral:lncRNA from 1 species